GAAGCCCACUUCCCACCUUCCCCGCGAAAAAUAGGCCCACGUUGUCGUGCGUGCGGUUCGGGCGGAGUCGGCAGCGAGCGACGAGCCUAGGCGGCGGCGGCUUCGACGACGACUGGGGCCUCAUCUAGCAGCAGCUCGACAAGCUCGAGCAGGACGAGGAGCCCACAUCGCGACCGUCCAGGGCGAGGAGCCCACACUUCCACCGGCGGCGGCGGCGCCCGCCUUUCUCUCCCUCCGGCGAAGAGGUUCCCGGCGGCUCUCUCUCCUCCAGAGAAGUGCGUCCCGACGACGCAAAGGCGGAUCCCGCCUUUCCCUCCACUUCUCGCCGGUCUGUGGCGCCCCUUGGCUCUGCAGCGCAAUCGUCCAGGGUCAGGCGUGGCCCUUCCGCACUGGCAGCAGGACCGGCGGCCUCCUUUAGCCACAGCCCAAUGGCGAGAUUUGUGCCUGAAUUGUUCUGCUUCAUAUGCCAAAGAAUUUUCGCAUGCUGUUCAGGCCUCCGAAUGCUAUCCCCGCCCAGCCGCUGCUGACAGGUGGGGGAGGCGAGCCAGCGAUGCCACGCCACCAUGGGCUGCGUUGAUGGUGGCGGUGGCUCUGCUGCUGGAGCCUGCAGGGGAUUCGGUAGCCGGCCUGCACCCUUCCUCUCGUCCAUGCCUUCAGCGGCGGUUUCUAUACUCCAGCUAACCCACCUUUCCCCUCGGGAGACCACAUCGUGAGCGCGGUUCCGGUACCGCAGGUGGUGCGUGGCGAGUGGCUCGAAUUGCGGCGAGCCUAGGCGGCGCCGGCACUUGCGGCUGGGGAAGGAGCAGUCGGCGGCGGCUCAGAGGAGUGGCGCACGAGAGAAGACGCUGGGCGUGGUGUGGCGGCGCCGCCUUCAUCGACGACGACCGGUGCCUGAGCGGGGAGCAGCUCGGCAAGCUCGAGCGGGAAGCCUACCACGAGCUCGCCGAGCGCAUGGCCUUCUUUUCCACCGCUCCCGCAACCUCGCCGCUACCCAAUCGGCCUUCUCCCCGGCGACCAGGGCCUCUUCGCGUGGGGAUUCGGCCGUGGGCGUCGGCGUGGGGCAUCACAUCUUCCGGGACACAACUGGCGGGCGUCCGACCGGCAACGGAGCUGCGAGACCCGUUCGCGGGAGGCGUGCUCUCCACCGCCGCCUCUUCCACCCCUCGACUCGUCCUCCCCUGCGAGACCCGGUCGCGGGAGGCGUGCUCUUCGCCGCGCCGACCUCCUCGCCCCCCGCUCCUCCUCGCCCUCCCCCUCGUUCCUCCCGGGAACGGCGCCGUGGUGUCAGAUCAGCACCGGUAGGACGCCGUCGAUUGGGUUGAGGCCCUCACAAGUUGAUUGGUAAUUCCCUCUGGACCUGUUUCCACUAGAUUCAGGGCGGGCGUCAGUUUAGGUGACAACGUUGCAGGGAAAGCAGAAGAGGAACUGAAACUGUUUGAGGCCAGAUGCGAGUACAUGAAGAUCAUGCAGUCCAAUGCAUUUGAUUUGAUGAUUUCACUUCGUGGUGGAAGAGAUUGAAGAUUUCAAAACAUUUUAUCUUGGGUUGCUUGUUUUUUUAACUUUUAAGUACCUUUGCAAACUGAUCUUGUAGGUUGUCUAUGAGUCGCUGUUGAGCCUUUGCUUUCCCCAUCACUGCAGGCAUCAAGUUCUUCAGAUGGCCAAUUAUGUAAGCAUGGAUCUUGGCAGCUCUAGCACGGUUCACAAACUCAUUGACCUGCACAUCGAACGAUGGCAUUCAUUUGAAAAUUCUGCACUUUGCAAAGAAAUUCGGACAGACGAUGCAUGAUAACAUACCCGGUGAUCACAGGCUUUCUUAGAAAACAAAGAAGCCGGGGGAGUGAGUUCAAACAAGAAGAUAGGACAUCUGAGACAUGUUUCAACUCUGCAACGUUUUCGAAGGAUGCUGAAGGGACCUCAAGGAAACAUGUCGUUAAUCAGAUUUUGGGAAUUAGUGUAUUGUUAUGCCAUCUAUGAAAAAGGAAGUUCCUUAGAAGUUUCUUGACACUCCUUGAUUCAGCCAUGUUCUAUCUUGAAGAUUUUUCAGAGAAUGACUUACUUGAAACUACGUUGUGAUGGUAGUGUGUUCAGAAAUUAAUGUAUAGCUGGUCCAGUAUAAUAUUUGGUAUUGUUAGCUUCGAU